UUCUCGGCUUCUGAGUAUCACAGAAACACCACACUUUGAUUGAAUAACAGACAAAUGUUCAUAACAAGUGGCUAUGGAUGAAAUUGAGCAAAAUAUUUGUUAAAAACAUACAUUUUGUUUGAAACAUCAAAUUUGACUAUAAUUGUGUGAGAUUUUUAGAAUAUAUGAUAUUUUGAGGAAUUUAAACAAUUGACCAUGUAUUUAGGGUCUAAAAUUACCCUGUUGGUGCUUUUAGGGUUAAAAAAACAGACAUUCUGGGAAUUUUCAUCCCUGGACUAUCUGUCAGACAUAAUGUGUCCUAGUAUUUCCAAAAUGUUAGCCAUCACCACUCACCAGUCAGUUUUUCUUCGUCCCUUCCCUGCUGGUGAACAUGGCGUCGUCUUUCAUCACGACAACAUGACAGUGUGUCUCUGUGGCUCACAGGCUCUGCCCCCUAGGAGCAGAGGGGGUGGUGAAAGUAUAAAACCUCUUGGGCUCCCUCCAGCCAGACUGUAGACCUACUAGAAACUAUAAAGACACCUGAGUGUCGCCCCACUGGCUAAACUCUCCCGUCACAAUGCUGUCACGAAAGUGGACUGUUCAUUUGAUCUUUGCUUUGGCUGGUCUUGCUCUCUCAGACCACGUUACUGAUGGAGAUACCAGCGUGGAAACCACAGGCACUCCUGAUGCCCCUGACGCCCCAGGCAAGUUCUGCAUGCUGUGCUGUACUGAAGACUGUAUCGAGGAAAGCAGCCAUGUAGGGAGCCAAGGUUGUUGGAUGCCCUGUAUGGAGGCAUGUUGGAAGGAAUGUAUGGAGCCCUAUAUGGAUCUCUGUAUGGAGCCCUGUACACAGGAUUCGUCGAAGGUGUGCAACAGUAAGGGGGACAUUAAUGAGGACAGUAAGGGGGAUGGUAAGGGGGACGGUAAGGGGGACGGUAAGGGAGACGGUAAGGGAGGCAGUAAGGGAGACGGUAAGAAGGACAGUAACGAGGACACUAAGAGGGACGGUAAGGGGGACGGUAAGGGAGGCGGUAAGGGGGACGGUAAGGGGGACGGUAAGGGAGGCAGUAAGGAGGACAGUAAGGGAGACGGUAAGAAGGACAGUAAGGGGGACGGUAAGGGAGGCGGUAAGGAAGGCAGUAAGGAGGACGGUAAGGGAGGCAGUAAGGAGGACAGUAAGGGAGGCGGUAAGGAAGGCAGUAAGGAGGACGGUAAGGGAGGCAGUAAGGAGGACAUUAAUGAGGACAGUAAGGGAGACGGUAAGAAGGACAGUAAGGAGGACGGUAAGGGAGGCGGUAAGGAAGGCAGUAAGGAGGACGGUAAGGGAGGCAGUAAGGAGGACAGUAAGGGAGGCGGUAAGGAAGGCAGUAAGGAGGACGGUAAGGGAGGCAGUAAGGAGGACAUUAAUGAGGACAGUAAGGGGGACGGUAAGGGGGACGGUAAGGGAGACGGUAAGGGAGGCAGUAAGGGAGACGGUAAGAAGGACAGUAACGAGGACGGUAAGAGGGACGGUAAGGGGGACGGUAAGGGAGACGGUAAGGGAGGCGGUAAGGAAGGCAGUAAGGAGGACGGUAAGGGAGGCAGUAAGGAGGACAUUAAUGAGGACAGUAAGGGGGAUGGUAAGGGGGACGGUAAGGGAGGCAGUAAGGAGGACAGUAAGGGAGGCGGUAAGGAAGGCAGUAAGGAGGACGGUAAGGGAGGCAGUAAGGAGGACAUUAAUGAGGACAGUAAGGGGGAUGGUAAGGAAGUCGAUAAGGGAGACAAUAAGGGGGACAGUAAGGGGGUUAGUAAGGGAGACAGUAAGGGGGACAGUAAUGGGGUUAGUAAGGGAGACAGUAAGGGGGACAGUAAGGGGGUUAGUAAGGGAGACAGUAAGGGGGACAGUAAGGAGGACAGUAAGAGGGACGGUAAGGAAGUCGAUAAGGGAGACAAUAAGGGGGACAGUAAGGGGGUUACUAAGGGAGACAGUAAGGGGGAUAGUAAGGGAGCCGGUAAGGAAGUCGAUAAGGGAGACAGUAAGGGGGAAAGAAAAAGACAGUAAGUGUGAGUGUAGUCUAACGUUCCUUAACCCUCUCUUGGUCCUCAAAAUGGGGAAGGUGUCUACAGAGAUACAAUUGAAUUAUUAUGCUGUUUUGAUGUACAUAACAUUUUUGCCCACUUUUUGACUGUUUUCUUGUUGUUUUUAAUUUCCUGAUGUUUUGAGAUCCUCUCUAGUGUUUACAGAACAUAAGGGUCUGAUUGGUGAAAUCAAUGCUAGCAGUAAUAUACAGAAUGACAAUGUAUGAGAAGAAAUGUGUCCAAUUCCAAUGAUAAUGAGUACAUGAUGCGUGAGAUGUUCAUUAAAGAAUCAUUUCUGUGAUGUGGAUUUUUGCCACUCUGCACAACCUGACUCCAGGGCUAUGCCUCUCCCCCUUCAGAAGAAGGCCUCUGUCAGGUUUAUUAUGGGUUUUAUGGUAUAAAAUCAUGUUUUAUAAUGAACUUCACUGCCUUAGUUUGAGUAUUUUGAUUUCUCGAUCUCUUUGUUUUAAGGUACUUAUUAUGUUGCAUUUAUUCAAUAUAAUCACACAUGAGAAUCAAAGUUGUAACACUUAAGAUAAGAACGAUUGACAGGUAACAUGUUUUUUGUUUAUGGUUGUUUAUUGAUUGUUUAUGCUGUUCAGGUUUUCCCCUUCUGCUAUACAAAGAAUGUUAUGCCUGUUCAG
rnacentral:lncRNA from 1 species